rnacentral:rRNA from 1 species
GGACUACUCGGGUAUCUAAUCCGGUUUGCUCCCCCAGCUUUCGUCCCUCACUGUCGGAGCCGUUCUGGUGAGGCGCCUUCGCCACAGGUGGUCCCCCAAGGAUUACAGGAUUUCACUCCUACCCCUGAAGUACCCCUCACCUCUCCCGGUCCCUAGAUCGCCAGUAUCCCUUGGACGCCUAUCGGUUAAGCCGGUAGAUUUCCCAAGAGACUUAACGACCCAGCUACGAACGCUUUAAGCCCAGUAAUAGUGGCCACCACUCGAGCCGCCGGUAUUACCGCGGCGGCUGGCACCGGUCUUGCCCGGCCCUUUCUUCGCCUGCUUUUUAAACAGACGGACAGUCCGCAUUUACGGACACUCGGAGUUCCCUUAUCACGGUUUCCCGCAUUGUAAAGUUUUCGCGCCUGCUGCACCCCGUAGG